rnacentral:rRNA from 1 species
UACGUAGGGCGCAAGCGUUGUCCGGAAUUAUUGGGCGUAAAGAGCUCGUAGGCGGCUUGUCACGUCGAUUGUGAAAGCCCGAGGCUUAACCUCGGGUCUGCAGUCGAUACGGGCUAGCUAGAGUGUGGUAGGGGAGAUCGAAUUCCUGGUGUAGCGGUGAAAUGCGCAGAUAUCAGGAGGAACACCGGUGGCGAAGGCGGAUCUCUGGGCCAUUACUGACGCUGAGGAGCGAAAGCGUGGGGAGCGAACAGG